UGGUACUCAAACUAUCUUGCACUGACACAGACACUAGACAUUACAUACACACACAGUCACUCCCACACAAAUCCCCAACACUUUUGUUUCGGUGUAAAGUCUCAGUGGUUCCUUGUACAGACUUGUCUUGGUCUGUUAACAAUAACAGUGACUCAAUGUCAUAACUGUCAAACUUAUCGUGUCUGGUGUCGAAACAAACAAAGUCGGUUUCCUGAAAAGAAAAAAGAACCUUGUUUGAGUCAUACUACCCAUUUCAGAAAGUAGUUCAGGCAUUUCACACAUCACACAUGCUGACACAAACACUUUUACACUCAUUUGCUGCUACUACUCUUCUUUAUUUUACUCUUAUUAUUAUCUGUCCUGAUGCCUAGUCAGUACCAUUGAUCUGGUACUGGUACUCCCUGUAUGUAGCUCCAUUCAUGUGUAUAUUGUGUUAGUUAGCAUUUCAUUUUGUAUUUUUAUUUUUUACUCCACAUCGUUGGGAAAGGUUCGUAAACAAGCAGUUCACUGUAAAGUCGACACCAGUUGUAUUCGGCACAUGUGAUAAAUAAAAUGGGAUUUAUUGGUUUCCUAUGAAAAGAAAGAAACCCAGAAUAGACCAGUAUUUUUUGGUGAAUGCCAGCAUGACUGGAACUUGUACAAACGAGUGUUGCAAGGAUGCUCCACUUUCUGCAGCAGUUGAUGGGAAGCGUGUGUGUGUUUGUGUCUAACCUGUUGGCGAAGCGCAGACAGAAAACGUUGUAGGCGUAGAGGCUGAACUGAGCGCAGCAUCAGUAUGUAGCAGAUAUCAAACUUCACCAUCCCCACCUCCUUCGUCUCAAACAGCACCGGAUCCUCCAGGUACUUACACACCACCUGGGAGACACACACACACACGCACGGUGUACACAGAGAUGGGACAAGUUCUGAACAAUCACCAUUACCCACGGUUGACUUUCCCAGAGACUGAAGAGGAGGCUGAUAUUCUUUGGACCUUUUCCCACAUCAGAGACUACAGACAGGUUAGCACACACACUUUCAACAAGUACCAAAAACACAAUUCCAUAAUUUAAUCACACUGACGCCCUAUGAGAAUCUACCCAACAUAUCAAGCCAUGUCAAACUACUGCAUUCUUAAACUACUGAUAGUGUUCGCUUCUACAGCCAAUGUGGGGUUUUCACCAGAUGGGGGCUUUUUUGCUGUGCUCUCUGAGUCUGUUGCCUUUGGUUGACACCACAGUGUUGUCUUAGUAAGACCAUGUCUCACUUCUACACAACAUAUCUGUAUUGGCAAAACAGUCUUGUAGCCUUGCGUCAGCUUCGUCCGACCACUUCCGUACUGAGCGCAUCACUGGUACUUCCUUUUUGAGCUUUUGUUUGUAAACAGGAAGCAUGAGAAUACCUCUGCAUCUUAGCUGGAACAUUUGAAGAGUGAAACCUGUUGCCUUGCUAACCACAGUUCCCCCUUCCUAUCGACAUGCUCCGCUCACAAGACUGCAUGUAGAUCCUCCCUGUUGUAGCUCAUCUCUUCGAAUGGGUGAGGACGUUGGGGGAUGGGGCUCACAAGGUUUAAGUGGGUUUAGGCCUUUCUCUCUGGACCACUUUGAUGACUACCAGAAGCACUUCACUGUCAUGAACUAUGGAGAGGGGGUCCAGCUCAAACAGGUUCACUACGAUGAAUUCAUACCCAUGUUUGAAAAGCAGUAUCCAUGGAAAGUGGUUGAGGUGUCGCCCAUCCUGUUUCUUUUCCCGUUCUGCUCAAGAACACGUCCUCCAUGUUUGACAAGUCCUUCAGUGCCUCCUGGAGAACCAGUUAUUUGUGAAAGCGGAGAAGUGCAAGUUCCAUCGUUCUACCCUCUCCUUUCUGGGCUAUGUCAUCGCUGAAGGACAUGUCCAGAUGGACCCGGAAAAGGUGAAAGCGGUAGUGGAUUGGACCCAACCUAGGUCCAGGGUGCAGCUACAAUGUUUCCUGGGGUUUGCCAAUUUCUACCACCGUUUCAUUCAAGGGAUACAGCACCCUGGCAGCCCCCCUCUGUGCACUCACCUCUCCCAAGGUACCGUUCACAUGGUCCCCAGCUAUUGACAGAUCCCUUGUGGACCUGAAGCAUCGGUUCACUACAGCCCCCAUCCUCGUCCAUCCGGACAUGUCCCGUCAGUUUGUGGUUGAGGUCGAUGCUUCUGACGUUGGAGUGGGGGCUAUCCUGUCCCAGCAAUCCGCCCAGGACCAAAAUCUCCAUCUCUGUGCUUCCUGUCCCAUCGUCUCAACUCUGCAGAAAGAAACUACGACGUGGGUAACCGAGAACUCCUGGCGGUCAAGAUGGCACUGGAGGAGUGGAGACAUUGGCUGGAAGAAGCAGAACUUCCGUUUCUGGUUUGGACGACCACAAGAAUUUGGAAUAUCUCCGCACAGCCAAGCACCUUAACUCCAGACAGGCCCGGUGGGCUCUGUUAUUCACCAGGUCCAACUUCACUAUUUCCUAUCGCCCAGGGUCCAAGAAUGUUAAAUCUGACGCCCUCUCUCGCCUAUACAGUCCCGCUGCCACAUCCUCUGACUCCGAGACCAUCCUCCCUACCUCAGGCCUUGCGGCUUCUGUGGGCUGGGGUAUUGAGACCUUGGUUCGCAAGGCACAAUGUUCCAAGCCUGCCCCUGGACGUGGCUCGGCUAACCGAUUGUUCAUCCCUAAUUCAGUCCGGUCCCGGGUCCUGGAAUGGGCUCAUUCCUCCAGGUUUACCUGUCAUCCAGGUUCCCGUCGAACCCUGGCAUUCCUCCGACAACGUUUCUGGUGGCCCACAAUGGUUCCUGACGCCUCUGCCUUCGUCGCCGCAUGCACCGUUUGUGCUCAGAAUAAGACUCUGCAGCAAGCCCCUGUCCAGCCUCCAUCAGCCACUACCUGUCCCUCAUCGUUCCUGGUCCCAUAUCUCCCUGGACUUUGUCAGUGGGCUCCCUCCAUCUGAUGGCAACACCGUCAUUCUGACAAUAGUGGAAUGGUUUUCCAUUUCAUCCCUCUCCCCAAACUACCCUCUGCCAAAGAGACGGCCCAGCUUAUGGUGCAGUCCUCCGGAUUCCAUCCCCAAUCCAACGGCCAGUCGGAGCGAGCAAACCAAGACCUGGAAACAACCUUAAGAUGCCUCGUCUCGACCAACCCCACUACCUUGAGCCGACAACUGGUCUAGGUGGAGUAUGCCCAGAACACUCUUCCCUGUUCGGCCACGGGACUCUCCCCUUUCGAGUGCUCCAUGGGGUAUCAGCCUCCGCUCUUCCCGGAACCAGGAAGAGUAGCUGCUGCUUUGGCAGCUAAUGGGGAUCCAUAAUAAAUAAAUACAAAUACCCUCGGCUCAGAUGUUCGUCCGUCUCUGUCGGUGUACCUGGAGAAGAGCCCGGGUGGCGCUUCUCAAGACCAACUCCAGGUAUUGUCAACAAGCAGACUGCCGCCAGACUCCAGCUCCUCGCUAUCUCAUUGGGUAGAGGGUAUGGCUAUCCACACGGGACCUGCCUCUUCGGGUGGAGUCCCACAAACUUUCCCCCCAUUUCAUUGGCCCUUUCCCCAUCUCUAGAGUACUUAGUUCCACUGCUGUUCAUCUUUCGUUACCCCGUACACUCCGUAUUCACCCUACGUUCCAUGUGUCUAGGAUUAAGCUCAUGUCUCACAGCCCUUUCUUCUGUUUCCAGGCCCACCCCUCUGCCCCAUGUCAUCGAUGGCCACCCGGCCUACACGGUGAGACGCCUCCCGCAUGUUCGACCGCGGGGCAGGGGUUUCCAACACCUGGUUGACUGGGAGGGUUAUGGCCCGGAAGAGAGGUGCUGGGUCCCCGCUAGAGACAUCCUGGACCCAGCCCUCAUCGCCGACUUCCACCGCCGGCACCCCGGUCAACCAGGUAUGCACCCAGGUAGGACGCCAGGUGGCACCCCUGGGGGGGGGGUGUACUGUCACACCCUGAUCUGUUCCACCUGUCCUUGUGCUUGUCUCGACCCCCCUCCAGGUGUCGCUCAUCUUCCCCACUUAUCCCCUGGGUAUUUAUACCUGUGUUUUUUGUCUGUCUAUGCCAGUUGGUCUUGUUUGCCAAGUCAACCAGUGUUUUUCUCUCAGCUCCUGUUUUCCACAGUCUCUCUUUUUCUCGUCCUCCUGGUCUUGACCCUUGCUUGUCCUGACUCUGAGCCCGCCUGCCUGCCCCUGACCUCGAGGGGUACCGUUAUGAACACUUGCCUGUCCCCGACCUGCCUUUUGUCUAUACCUUGGAUUAUAAUAAAUACCAGAGCUCAAAC